AGGAUCAACAUUCUCCAUUUAUGCAGAGAACAGGUACAGCAUGAACAGUCACAGUGCAGAUUUCCCUAAAUUGACUUUCCAAUGUCUCUCCAACUUGACUUGAACCCUUUUGGAUUCAAAGGUAACUGCAUUCACUCCAUGCAUGUUCCAUU
rnacentral:sRNA from 1 species